rnacentral:rRNA from 2 species
CUCGACCCCAGGUCAGGCGGGGUUGCCUGCUGAAUUUAA